rnacentral:rRNA from 1 species
UCCUGACUGACCGAUAGUGAACCAGUACCGUGAGGGAAAGGCGAAAAGAACCCCGGCGAGGGGAGUGAAAAAGAACCUGAAACCGUGUACGUACAAGCAGUGGGAGCACGCUUAGGCGUGUGACUGCGUACCUUUUGUAUAAUGGGUCAGCGACUUAUAUUCUGUAGCAAGGUUAACCGAAUAGGGGAGCCGAAGGGAAACCGAGUCUUAACUGGGCGUUAAGUUGCAGGGUAUAGACCCGAAACCCGGUGAUCUAGCCAUGGGCAGGUUGAAGGUUGGGUAACACUAACUGGAGGACCGAACCGACUAAUGUUGAAAAAUUAGCGGAUGACUUGUGGCUGGGGGUGAAAGGCCAAUCAAACCGGGAGAUAGCUGGUUCUCCCCGAAAGCUAUUUAGGUAGCGCCUCGUGAAUUCAUCUCCGGGGGUAGAGCACUGUUUCGGCAAGGGGGUCAUCCCGACUUACCAACCCGAUGCAAACUGCGAAUACCGGAGAAUGUUAUCACGGGAGACACACGGCGGGUGCUAACGUCCGUCGUGAAGAGGGAAACAACCCAGACCGCCAGCUAAGGUCCCAAAGUCAUGGUUAAGUGGGAAACGAUGUGGGAAGGCCCAGACAGCCAGGAUGUUGGCUUAGAAGCAGCCAUCAUUUAAAGAAAGCGUAAUAGCUCACUGGUCGAGUCGGCCUGCGCGGAAGAUGUAACGGGGCUAAACCAUGCACCGAAGCUGCGGCAGCGAUGCUUAUGCGUUGUUGGGUAGGGGAGCGUUCUGUAAGCCUGCGAAGGUGUGCUGUGAGGCAUGCUGGAGGUAUCAGAAGUGCGAAUGCUGACAUAAGUAACGAUAAAGCGGGUGAAAAGCCCGCUCGCCGGAAGACCAAGGGUUCCUGUCCAACGUUAAUCGGGGCAGGGUGAGUCGACCCCUAAGGCGAGGCCGAAAGGCGUAGUCGAUGGGAAACAGGUUAAUAUUCCUGUACUUGGUGUUACUGCGAAGGGGGGACGGAGAAGGCUAUGUUGGCCGGGCGACGGUUGUCCCGGUUUAAGCGUGUAGGCUGGUUUUCCAGGCAAAUCCGGAAAAUCAAGGCUGAGGCGUGAUGACGAGGCACUACGGUGCUGAAGCAACAAAUGCCCUGCUUCCAGGAAAAGCCUCUAAGCAUCAGGUAACAUCAAAUCGUACCCCAAACCGACACAGGUGGUCAGGUAGAGAAUACCAAGGCGCUUGAGAGAACUCGGGUGAAGGAACUAGGCAAAAUGGUGCCGUAACUUCGGGAGAAGGCACGCUGAUAUGUAGGUGAAGUCCCUUGCGGAUGGAGCUGAAAUCAGUCGAAGAUACCAGCUGGCUGCAACUGUUUAUUAAAAACACAGCACUGUGCAAACACGAAAGUGGACGUAUACGGUGUGACGCCUGCCCGGUGCCGGAAGGUUAAUUGAUGGGGUCAGCGCAAGCGAAGCUCUUGAUCGAAGCCCCGGUAAACGGCGGCCGUAACUAUAACGGUCCUAAGGUAGCGAAAUUCCUUGUCGGGUAAGUUCCGACCUGCACGAAUGGCGUAAUGAUGGCCAGGCUGUCUCCACCCGAGACUCAGUGAAAUUGAACUCGCUGUGAAGAUGCAGUGUACCCGCGGCAAGACGGAAAGACCCCGUGAACCUUUACUAUAGCUUGACACUGAACAUUGAGCCUUGAUGUGUAGGAUAGGUGGGAGGCUUUGAAGUGUGGACGCCAGUCUGCAUGGAGCCGGCCUUGAAAUACCACCCUUUAAUGUUUGAUGUUCUAACGUGGACCCGUGAUCCGGGUUGCGGACAGUGUCUGGUGGGUAGUUUGACUGGGGCGGUCUCCUCCUAAAGAGUAACGGAGGAGCACGAAGGUUGGCUAAUCCUGGUCGGACAUCAGGAGGUUAGUGCAAUGGCAUAAGCCAGCUUGACUGCGAGCGUGACGGCGCGAGCAGGUGCGAAAGCAGGUCAUAGUGAUCCGGUGGUUCUGAAUGGAAGGGCCAUCGCUCAACGGAUAAAAGGUACUCCGGGGAUAACAGGCUGAUACCGCCCAAGAGUUCAUAUCGACGGCGGUGUUUGGCACCUCGAUGUCGGCUCAUCACAUCCUGGGGCUGAAGUAGGUCCCAAGGGUAUGGCUGUUCGCCAUUUAAAGUGGUACGCGAGCUGGGUUUAGAACGUCGUGAGACAGUUCGGUCCCUAUCUGCCGUGGGCGCUGGAG